rnacentral:rRNA from 1 species
CCUACGGGCGGCUGCAGUGGGGAAUAUUGCACAAUGGGCGCAAGCCUGAUGCAGCCAUGCCGCGUGUGUGAAGAAGGCCUUCGGGUUGUAAAGCACUUUCAGCGGGGAGGAAGGCGUUAAGGUUAAUAACCUUGGCGGUUGACGUUACCCGCAGAAGAAGCACCGGCUAACUCCGUGCCAGCAGCCGCGGUAAUACGGAGGGUGCAAGCGUUAAUCGGAAUUACUGGGCGUAAAGCGCACGCAGGCGGUCUGUCAAGUCGGAUGUGAAAUCCCCGGGCUCAACCUGGGAACUGCAUUCGAAACUGGCAGGCUAGAGUCUUGUAGAGGGGGGUAGAAUUCCAGGUGUAGCGGUGAAAUGCGCAGAGAUCUGGAGGAAUACCGGUGGCGAAGGCGGCCCCCUGGACAAAGACUGACGCUCAGGUGCGAAAGCGUGGGGAGCAAACAGGAUUAGAUACCCCUGUAGUC